rnacentral:lncRNA from 1 species
AGGAUACACUUCCUUACCCUCUCUCCCUGCAGUCCUUUCUCAGCAGUUUCCUUCUUCCCACAGGUUCUAAGUGCUGAAGGAACCAGUCCAGAGAUCCUCCUGAAGAGAGGAAGCCUCUUUCUUUUUCAUUACCCUGUCUCUUCCCUUUACUCUCCUCAAAGCCUGAAUUUAACUCAAUCCCUGGGAACCUUAGUCCCUGGUUCCUGAAUUUUCUCACAGGGAAGCAGGAUUUCUUGCAGGGGAGGAUGACAAUGAAGAGUUCAGGAAGAGAAUUGACAGACAGAACCACAGGACCUUUUAAGUGAUCUAAGAACUUUCUAGUCCUAUCUGGUUUGACUGAAUGUUUGUGGAGGAAGAGAACCUGAGAAUACUGCCCCAGGUGUAUCUUUGAAUGCAGAAGAAAGUGACCCUGAAAAGACAACUUAAUAUCAUCCAAUCUUGUCCUUUUUCUGCCCUUCUUGCUGAAACAAGUUAGGUAACAUUCUUGACAAUUAAGGAGCCAAAUUAUCCUGUGUGAAUGUUACAGUGGCCAUGGAUUGUGUGUUUUCUUGGCUAACCGAACAAAUAAAGGUAAGAAACUUGUUGGGAAGAAAGAUGGCAUCUUCCAAUAUUCCUGAAAAGAGAUGAGAACAAUUAUUUAGAUAAUACCAAGUGGUAAUGAUAAAUUCCUUCUUAAGAUUGGGAGCCAUCUUGCACAAAGGCAUGAAAAGCUAAUUUCGGCUUUACUAUAAAUUACUGCGAUUUCUAAACUUGCUUGGAAUGCCUGCCCGUUCCUUGAACUCACCGGAGCCUGGCUUUCCCUGACCAGAUAACAACUCUCUCUGAAGCUCUAAUGGCCCCCAUAAAUUCUGAUGUUGGGGCCAGCUAAAAUAUUAACUAGCCUUUGUGUUAUGCUUGUCAAAAUUUUGUUAUUUGUAAGUUCUCAAACCCCCCUUUGUGUAACUUUCUGUGUUAUAAAGCUGUGCUCCUUAGAAAGCUGCGGGGCUAUCUUCUGUUCCCACGGUUUUUGGGAGAGACAGCCCGGCCAGUCAAAAAUUAUAAGCUUGCUUUAAUUUUAUUUAAAUUAGA